UACGAAGGGGGCUAGCGUUGCUCGGAAUUACUGGGCGUAAAGGGCUCGUAGGCGGCCCACUAAGUCGGAUGUGAAAUCCCCAGGCUUAACCUGGGAACUGCAUCCGAUACUGGAUGGCUUGAAUCCGGGAGAGGGAGGCAGAAUUCCAGGUGUAGCGGUGAAAUGCGUAGAUAUCUGGAGGAAUACCGGUGGCGAAGGCGGCAUCCUGGACCGGCAUUGACGCUGAUGAGCGAAAGCUAGGGGAGCAAACGGG
rnacentral:rRNA from 1 species